rnacentral:rRNA from 1 species
GAUGAACGCUGGCGGCGUGCCUAAUACAUGCAAGUCGAGCGAACAGACGAGGAGCUUGCGCCGCUGACGUUAGCGGCGGACGGGUGAGUAACACGUGGAUAACCUACCUAAAAGACAGGGAUAACUUCGGCAAACCGGAGCUAAUACCGGAUAAUUUAUUGAACCUCAUGGUUCAAUAGUGAAAGACGGUUUUGCUGUCACUUAUAGAUGGAUCAGCGCCGCAUUAGCUAGUUGGUAAGGUAGCGGCUUAUCCAGGCAACGACGCGUAGCCGACCUGAGGGGGUGAUCGGGCAGCCUGGAAGUGAGGCACGGUCCAGACUCCUGCGCGAGGCAGCAGUAGGGACUCUUCCGCGAUGCAGGAAUGCCUAACGGAGCAACGCGGCGGGAAUGAUGAAGCACUUCGGAUCGGAGAACUCUGUUAUUAGGAAGGAACAAAUGUUUAAGUAACUAUGAAGGUCUUGACGGUACCUGAACAAGAAGCCACGGCUAACUACGUG